UGUUCAGCGUAUCGAAACCCGUUGCGAGAACUUGCUGCCUUUAUCCCGAGAGUAACGGUUCGAUCAGAAGCAUGCAGAUUUAUGUAAUGCCUCGGAGGGCGGACCGUUUUCCCACGGCGAUUGUUAUCGCGGUUUAACGAAUUCUGAAAACUUUGAUGGAAGCUGCUGAAGUCACUGCGUUCGAAUUUAAGAGCGGAGAGCAACAAAAAGAAACUGCAGAUUCUUUUAUCGACUAAAUAAGAAAGGAUUCCGGCUUCAUUAUUCUAGCAUUGUUCGACGGAUGCCUUUCAAGGAGAAGCAGAAAGAAAUCGUUUCAAUAACGAUCGCGAGACAAUAAAAAAUAUCUUUACCUUGGAAUAAAAGCGAUCGAUGUCGAAGAACACGGACGCGAUGUCGUUUCAUUUCACGCGCAAGAAAGGAAACGGACGUUAAAAGCUUGGCUCGACGACGUGAACCGGUCCGCGAAUCGCGGUGUUAACUUAAUUAAACGCAAUUUUAAAUUGGCGUCGCAGAGAGAAAGGUGAAUGGCGUGCCUUCUGCCAUCGAUUAAUUUGCUAAUUUAUAACGAGGAAAUUUUCCGAUGCAGACUAAUUGAAACGUUGCCGCGUCACUGAGAAUAAUGUCCGCACUUGUUCCGUUUAUUUCGUUGUGGCAUACCACGAAUUCUCUCUCUCUCUCUCUCCCAUUUGUAACACGGCAAAACAACUUUUGCAUAAUUUCGAGUUUGCUGAAUAUUAUAUUUUAUGUACACCACAUGCGUCCCGUUUUUUUCAUUCGAUUUACGUCGGCAGACAGUUCUCUGCGACGAAUAGAGCGUGUAAUCAACCUUUUUAAACACGGAUCAGAAUCAGCAAAAUCAUACGAUAAAUUAUUAUUUAAAGAGGAGUGGUCACACCUGCCUACGUUGCGAAUAUUUAUAUUUUUUUAUUUGCGGGGUAAACUCGUCAUAUUGUUACACAUGGAGUUCGAAGGAAAUUAGUAUAAUUAAACUGCGGAUGUUUAUUGUACGUUUGUUGAAAAUUUAAAUAAGGGAAAAUGUGAAAAUGUGAAAAUGUACAUAAUGUGCAAAAAAGCAUACAAAGUAUCCAAAGUAAAAUAUGUACUCGUAAUAAUAUUUCGAGGGUGAAAGAAAUUUCUAUUCAUGUUCCAGUGGUUUAGCGUUAUGAUCGUGUGAGUAUGAAUUUCUAUAAAAAUUCACAGUCCAACCAUAGUACACGCCACAGAGAGUGUUUCCAAGAUGAUAAGGAUUAACUAAAUAGAUCAUUUUCUGACGAACGAAGUUGGUACGAUUAAUCAUUCAAGAGCUGUAUACAAUAUAUUUGAAUGUUUCUUCAAGUAUAUGAUAAGUACAAUAUGUAAGCAAAAUAUUAGAAUGUAAAUUGAAGAAUAUACAACUUAAAACAUGUUCUUGAAAUUGAAAUGUCAGGCAAAUGUAACCAAUGUGACCGAGAGUGCUAAAAAUUCUCACUUUUAUUCAUUU